GGGUGAUUCUUUUGGACUAAUUCAUGUGGCUGCAAUUGGAGCUGGAUGAUCUAAAUGGUCUCACUCCUAGGUCUGGCUGUUGAUGUUGGCUGUUGGCUGAGCCAGGGGCCGCCAGCAGGCUAGCAUGGGCUCUUCACUCAGCAGCAGGGUUCCCCAAGAGGACAAGCCCAACACACAUGUGCUUUUCAAGCCUGUGAUUAUCAGGCUUGAAAUACUGCAACAUCUGCUGCAAUCAGUAACAACCACAUAAGAAAGCAAUGACAAGUUAUGAUUACUGCUCUGGAGGGAGUGAGCAGGAUGCUGUGAGAGAGGGUUACUAUUCCAAGUGGCACCUGGGCCAGCAGCAUUGGCAUCACCUGGGACUUGUGAGAAAUCCAGCAUCUCAGGCUCCACUGCAGGUCUCCUAAAUCAGAAUCUACAGUUUAACAAGAUCCCCAGCAGAUGUGUGUGUAAGGUUUAUAGAGAGAAGAUUCAAGCCUCAACAGGCCAGCUCAAGAACCUGUUGAGAGGAGCACCUAGCAUAAGACCUGGCUUGUGACAGCUGCUCGUGGCAUGCCCUUCUCCACUAAGCCAACUUGUUAAACCUCUUCACGGCUGAGAUCAUGCUGCUUUCUUCUUCAGAUCUGCCACCCUCUAGCUGGGUGACUUUUAGACAAGUGAUCGACCUCUCUGAGCCAGAGUUUCUACCUUGUAAAAAAAAAAAAAUCCCUUCCUGCAUGGUCAGCUGUCAUGAAAAGGACACAUGGUGAUGGGCAGACAAAGACAAGGCUUAGCUUCGUGUUUGACUCCUAGGAGCGCCCAGUUCAUGGAGGCUGCUGCUGUCACUAAUCUGUUUCCAUCUUCCCCUGGGAAUCCUGAGGUUUAUCUGUGAGCCUUUGGACUGCUGUAUGGACAACAUACUCUGCAGUAGCAUGAAGAAGUGAGUGAAGACCCUCCCUUGAACCGUUUGCCCUGAAAGAACAGAAGUCACAUCUUGAUAUCUCAGUGCCUUUACAGUGCCAGGGAUGGGGUAGGUGCUGAGCGCCUGGUAUGUGCUCACCCUAUGCUGUACAACACACAGAAAGCCCCACAGGGUUUGAACUGUAAUUAGGUAGAGGGUGUGUGGGACUCGCCUUGGGUCUCUGACUUUGGCUUCUGCUCCCGGCCUUGGAUAGGCUGAUAUUUUCUAGUAGAUAUCAGAGACUCCGGUUGAUAGCACCACAAUGGCUUUUCUCCCAACUUUUUGUUUUACGUAUUAUCAAGCCAACAGAGAAGUUGCAAGAAUAGCACAAUGAACAUGCAUAUACCCUUCACCUGGAUUCACCACUUUUGUUUCAUUUCUCUCAGUAUAUAUGUUUGUGUGUGUUGGAGACAUAUGACAUUUUACCUCGAAACCAGGCAUCUCCUAGGAAAAAGAGCAGCCUCCCAUAUAACAACAAUACAAUGAUAACCCUUAAAAAACUUUGCAUUAAUAAAUCCCAUUAGUUAAUAAAAAAAAAAAAAAA
rnacentral:lncRNA from 1 species